AUCCUUUUGUAUUUCACGAGCAUGAUGACUGGGUGUUCACGUGGUUGUGUGACACACGCCUCCCGCAAACCUUGUUAUGACGCUGGUACAUUACCCGUUCGAUG
rnacentral:snoRNA from 1 species